rnacentral:pre_miRNA from 2 species
GACAUACUCCCUCUGUCCGAAAUUAUUUGUCACAAAAAUGGAUACAAAUGGAUACAUCCAUUUCUAUGACAAGUAUUUCCGGACGGAGGGAGUAUUUG